rnacentral:rRNA from 1 species
CAGGCAGUCCCAAAAUAUUAGUCAAUGCUCGAAAGAGUGAACUAGCUAACUGAAAUCAAUUAUAAUAAUUGAUAACAUAAGGGAAAAAGAAUGAUAUUACCUUAUUAUUAGUGUCGUCCAAAUCUGGUGCCAGAAGACUCGGUAAGGCCAGAGACACGAACGUUAAUCGUCUUAAUCAGGCGUAAAGGGUUUGUAGGCGGCUUUAAAAUUUAUUUAUAUUAAUAUUAUAAAAUAAAAAAUAAAAGCUAGAAUCAAAAAGAGGAUAUAUUAAAGAAUGCUUAGAGUAGGUCUGAUAUCCUUAGAUACUAAGUAGAAUAUUAAAGGCGAAAGCUUUUUUCCAUUAAUGAUUGACGCUCAGAAACGAAGGUGAGGAUAGGAAAUAGGAUUAGAUACCCAAAAUACCCCUCUCUGUCAACGAUGAAUGGUAAUUAUUAGUAAAAAUUUUAUUAAUGAUAAUGUUAACACGAUAACCAUUCCGCCUUGUGAGUACAACUGCAAAGUUGAAAACAAAAAAAUUAGUCGGUUUCGGAGCAAACGAAGUGAAGCAUGUUAUUUAAUUCAUUAAUCCGC